rnacentral:pre_miRNA from 1 species
UUAACUCAAUUUUGUAUGGAGUUCGAACGUUUACCUACGUUUGACGUUAGGGGCCCUGUUGCAACUCCAUACAAAUUUGAGUUA